rnacentral:lncRNA from 1 species
GUCUGGAUCUCAGCCCUGGGGCCCCUUCUGUGGAUUCUCUACCUCAGACCUGUGGGAGGAGCUACUCGUUGGCUCCUGUAUUCUUUAGAUUUCUCCCUACCUCUUACGAGCAAAUCCCUCAUUAUGCCAAUUCCCCUUUGCAGCUGGCGGUUCUUUAGACUCAGUGCUCUCCCUUCACAUGACUAUGGGUCUUCUCUCCUGCUUAGGCCCUGAUGGGUACGACAUCAUUUCUGCUAUACUCUCUUGGUGGAAGGAGUCGAGAGCCCACCUGGAUUCAAAGGACUGGGACAGAGACCCCACCUCUCGAUGGGAGGAGUGUCGAGUGUUUGCAGCAGCUGCUGGAACCACCCUGACUGCGGCAGUGGCCACAUCGUCUGAGUAGCUGCACCUAGACCAGAUAUGCUGGGAUUGGCUGAAAUCCGGAAAAAACAAAAUUGCCAGUAGCUGGAGAGGUUGUAGAUAUCCAUCUUUGGGGACGUCAGUCACAGGUAGAAGGACAGUCACUGGGCUGGGUCAGCUUCUAGGAGGGAGAUUUGCAAGGAUGCAGUAAGAGUCCAAGCAUCAAAGAGCAGACCAGUGGGCAGGUGCCUAAGAGAACAAGGCGAGAGCCCCAGUAUUGGAACUGGGGUCAUGAUGAGGACUUAACCUCGAGAGCAAGGCACAGGAGAAGCCCAUUUUCAGAGCUGUGGCGCCAGGCAGGACCAGGCCAGGAAGUGAGACCCGGGCAGCACCUGCAAAACUGUCUGAGGUCAGCGUCCCAGCUGCCCUGGGGCUUGUGUUCCUGGAAUCUAGUAGGUAGAACCCAGGGAUGCUCCUGGAACCCUACAGUGCACACAUGGCACCUGCAACAGAUCAGCUGAGGAACCCCGGUCCGAAGUGAUGUUGAAGGUACCAGGAUGAGUCCAGGGGCAAUAGCGGGCAGGAGGACAGGACUGGUGUUAGAGUGAAUCACGAAUGAGGGAGAGUGGCCAGAAAAACAGGAAAGGGUAGCAAAAUUUGAUCUCAUGUCCUUGAAGGAGGCUUCUUGGUUUUUUAAAGGAUGGAGAGAAACAGUUUGGAAGUGGCAAUGAGAGUUAUGUGAGAGACGAGACCCGAGAGCUGCCACUUGAGAAGCCUGGAGGGAGCAGUGUCCUGGGAGCACAGCCAGGUCAGAGUUGGAGCACGAAGGGCAUGCUGGAGGAUGUGGGAAACUUGCUGAGGGUAGACGGUGAGCAGCGGGGGCAACAGAUGUUGGAAGGAAAGGGAGUCAGGUUUGGGGGGCACAGGGUCCUGUGGGGAGAAGCACCCGCAGAGACUUAGCAUUACGAAGUGAUGAUCACGGUGAAUUUGAAGCACAGUGAGAGGGACCCUUGAUGUCUCAGAGGCUGUGGGGGUUUGAGGUC